AGAAUCUUGAAAACUAUUGUUGGAUUAAAAAAUAGAGGUUCGAGAUUCAUCCACGUUAUCAUGAGUAAAAAUUUUACUCGCAUACUCAUGAGUAAAACUUUUACUCAUGGUGACGUGGAUGAAUAUCGGACAUUUAUUUUUUAAUCUAAUGGUAGUUUCCAUCACUGU
rnacentral:pre_miRNA from 1 species